UAGAGGGGACUGAAGUUCUCUGUUUAUCCACAGAACAGAUACAGCAUGGGAAGAGGCCGUGCAAUGUCUCAGUUUGCCUAAACCCUGACCUGGAGGGACCACCACUAAGAAUAAGAGGUUAGUUCAGUGUCCAUUCAGCCUUGGUUUCA